rnacentral:ribozyme from 13 species
GAAGGAGAGGGAGAAGAAGACAAGAUUAAGGUGAAAAGAAGUUUGAGUGAUGCAUUUGUGCCGAGUAGUCUCCUUUUUUCUUUGGUUUCUUCUUUCUCUCCCUCUUCUUCUUCUUCUUGCUCUUCUCCUACCGAAAUAGUGAAUGCAGAAGAAAAAAUGAGAA